UGUCUGUGCAGGCAGCAGGCUUUAUGGGCUCCAAAGUGAGAAGGGGACAGCUGGCGAGAGACGGGAACGUGGCUGGGUGAGGUGGGUGGAAAAUAAAGUUCCCACGGCCGGCCGGGAUCCUCACCUGACCAUUAAUUACUUGAUGAUGUAACUGGCCUACUGCGAGGCAAAGGCCCCCACACCCGCUGGCAAUGAGCUAUUACUGACUGAGUCACUAUAUAAAAACCUCUGCCCUGCUCUGGGAGGAGGCAGAGACAGAGGUGGAUUAUGCGCCUGGAGACUGCUGGAUACAGACGUGAUCCUACUGCUCCAUUUACCACCAUGAGAAUAAAUCAUUUCAUGAUCCUCCCAUGUCGAAGCCCCUUUUCCAAAAUCCAUCUCCAAAGCCAUGCACAUCCCAAGAGAUGCCUGAGGGGUGAAGGCCCCACAGGAGAGGUCAGCCUGCAGCAUGACCUUUGCCCCUGAGUUGGACCUUUGUCCUACUGCUUUCUCAUCACUCACAGAAUCUGGAGGUCAUGCUAGCCCCAGAAGGAUGCAGGGCUUUCCAAAGCCCUGGCAUUGAGGGGUAUCAUAGAGUCCUCCCAAAAUCUCAGCAUCAAUUGAUUAAACAAAGGUCAACAGUGAAUGGACUCCACGUGAAGAUGGAACAUUCUAAAACGGGAAGAAGUUAAAGUGAGCACCAGAGGUCUGUUUACAUCAGUAACAGAGUUGCAGGCAUAGAGGCAAGGACACCCCUGCAGCAAUAAGCACCUCUAGCUCUAAGUUCUUGUUUUCUACAUAUCACUCACUUGAGGGAACCAGGACUCCUGAAAGCAUGGUCAAUCUGUGGUCUGGGCCUGAAAAUGUACAACUUGAGCCUGGAAUGUCUUGUGCCAGAAAGCAGAAAGUAUGCAAAGAUACACGUGAUGGUGUAGACAGGAUUCAGGAGCUGGCCAAGGGUGCUCCUACUGCACAGUGAGGGACAAUGUGAACAGCAAAAAAAAUGUGACAAAUGAGAAAGGAAUAAAAGGAUGAAAACCCACCCCUUUGCAACCCCCAUGGUAGUGCUUCAUUCAGGCAAGCCUCAUCAAUGAUUGCUCAAACUGUUGGGAGAACUGGAUAUUCAGUUGAUCCUGUGCCCAUGUGACCAUUCCACACAUCACCUACUAAUUACAAAGGAGAAAAUGGAGAGAGGCUUGGUGAUCAAACUCAACAUCACCAAAAGUACACAACCUGACAUUGUUUGUCCCCUGAAAUGACAGUUAAGAAGCACACAAUGUCCCCUAGAUUGUACUCUUGCCAAAAACAUUAAACCUGAAUCUAAUCAACAGAAUAAACAACCAGAUUAAUCCAGCAUGUGGGACUCCUACAGGACACCUGGCCUGGACUCUUCAAAAAUGCCAAUGUCAUAAAAACAAAUAGCAAUAACAAAAACAAAGAGGGGAGAGACUUUUAAAUUAAGAAUGACUCAAGAGACAUAACCAAAUAUCAUCCAUGAAUUCUGAUUGGAUCCUGGAUAGGAUAAAAAAAAAUCCAGCUAUAAAAGACAUUUGGGGACAAUUGUAGAGAUUUGAGUACAGAUGGUUACGAAAACAACUUUGUGGUUUUGUGGGAGAAUAUCCUUAUUAGGAGAUGAUGAGAUAUUUAGAAGCAAAGCAUCAAGAUGUCAGCAACUUGCUUUCAAACCUUGAGCAAAAUAAAGUAUGUAAAAUACACAGAAGAGAGAGGAGGAGAAAGCAAAUCGGGCAACAUGUGAGCAGUUGGAGAAUCCAAGGGAAGGACAGCUGCAACCGUUUGUAAGAGGACUUCGGGCUCUGCUGGGAGGCUCUCUGUUCCUUUCCAGCACCAUCCUGACUCAGAAUUGCAUUUGCUCAUUCAUUCCUUCAUUUAUUCAAUUAUUUAAAAGUGAUUCUUGAGUCCCAGGCACUGUUCUGGGCUCUAGGGACAUCUCGAUGAACAAGCAGCCAUGGUUUCUGCCCUCCCAGAGCUCACAGGCAAACCACCACCAUGACAAGUGUCACAAAGGGGAGGAACAGGGUGCCACAGAGUUGGUAAUGGGGGCACUGCUGUGGUGACAUUGAGUGACAAGCAGGAAAUAUAAUCCACAGACUCUAUAGAAGGAGUGUAUUUGGGGGACAAUGAGAAAUCGGGUGUCAAGGGACACUCCCAGGGUUCUGGCUUGUGUAACUGGAUAGACAGUGGUGGCCUUCACUGGGACAACCUGGAAGAGACUCUCAGUGUGGGUGGGGGUGCAGGUAGCAGCCAUCCACACAGGCCACCGUGUGACAUUCAGUCACGGAGGGGAAGUCCACACUGCUGUGGGGCUGUGAGUCAUCACAGAGGCCCUGUGUAGCCAGAGCCUGCCUGGCCCUUCCCAGAACAUCUGCCACUCCCGAGGGACACACAGGAACAGGACAUACAAUGUGACCUGUGUUCUAACCAGUGGAUCAGCCUACCUGCCCUGUGCCCACAGUAAUGCUCCCCACACUUCCUGCUCAGGUAAUUUUAAUUCAGCCAUUAGCGUCAUGAGAAAAAGUCUCCCCAGUGUCUGGGAGCCCAGGUGGAAUGCGGGACAGGAAGGUCUUCAGGUCAGACAGAAGAGACUUGAAUCCUUGCUCAGCCACUUUCUGCCUUUAUCGCCUUGCAUUCGUUUCUUUUAGCUGCAAAUGCCCACUCCCUGAGCAGUGUAAAACAACACCGAUCUGACAAUUCUGUGGGCUGCAGCCUGAAAGCCCUCCCUGGGCUAAAAUCAAAGUGUUGGCAGAACAGUCUUCCUUGAAGGCUCAAGGUGAAAAUCCAUUUCUGCUAUAGCCGGAAUGUUUGUGUCCCCCAAAAUCCACAUGUUGAAAUCUAACUCCCCAGUGCAAGGGUAUUAGGAGGUGGGGCCUUUAGGAGGUGAUUAGGUCAUGAAGGUGCAGCUCUGAAGAAUGGGAUCAGUGAUCUUAUAAAAGAGACCCCAGGGAGAUUCCCCACGCCAUCCAUCACAUGGAGACACAGCAAGAUGGCCAUCUGUGGACCAGGAAGUGAGCCCUCACCAGACACCGACUCUGCCAGGGCCUUGAUCUUGGGCUCCCUAGCCUCCAGUACCAUGAGGAAUUCCUGUUUUCUAUAAACUCCCCAGUCUGUGGUGUACUGUGCAGCAGUGCAAGCUGACAGAGACAGACUCCUUGCCUCUUCCAGCUUCUAGAGGCUGCCCACAUUCCUUGGCUCAUGGCCCCUUUCUUCCAUCCUUAAAGCCAGCACUGACAUUCUUCACAUCUCCCUCUGACUCACCCGUUGUGUCUUCCUUUUAAGGACUUUUGUAACUAUUUUGGCCCUACCUGGAUAAUCCAGGAGAAUCUCCCUACUUGAAGGUCAGGGAUUAGCAACCAUAAUUCUAUCCAAAACCUUAAUUCACCUUUACCAGGUAACCUAACAAAGCCUCAGGUUCCAGGGAUCAGAAUGUGGGCAGCUUUGGGGGGCCAGGACACUGAGUAAUUCUAUAACCUCUAAGAGUCCAUUUCUUGUACCCACAAUGGUUACCAUAGGGAUUAGCAAGGUGAUUACAUUGGUCAUUUAUGGCUGUGUGGCAAAUUACCCCAAAACUUAGUGGCAGAAAACAGUAUUAUUUUGACAGUAUUUCUGUCAAACCACUAUUUCUGACCCUUCUGAGGGUUAGAAAUUAGGAGCAGCUUAGCUCAGUAGUCUAGUGUGAGCUCUUUCAUAAGGUGGCAGUCAGGAUACCAGCCUAGGCUCCUACCACCUGAAAGACUGGCUAGGGCUGAAAGCUUCCAAGACGGCUCCUCCGGUCGCUGUCGGCAGGAGGCUUCGGAUCCUUGCCUGUGGAUCCCUCCCUAGGGCUGCUUGAGCGUCCUCAAGAAGUGGCAGCUGGCUGCCCCCAGAGGGAGUGGUCCUCAAGAGAGCAAAAUAGAAGCCACAGUGUCUUUUUUUACCUAGCCAUGUACCUAUAUGACCUAUUUAAAAUGGGUACAUAUUACCUAUUCAAAAUAAUUUUUCAAAAUAAAUAAAAAUUACCCACAGUAUCACUUAGUCUGAUCUAUUUCAGAAGUUUCCGAGCAUUAUCAGCGGAAACUGUCCCUUGAACACAAUUUCUCAGGGAAUCCCAAUACAGCCACCAGCUACCAGGGCAGGUGGCUCCAGUGGGCCCAACAGGGGUCUUCUACACACCUCUCAAAACUUGGUUUACAGAUGUCUGGGUUCAACCUUUUAUCUGAGCAGGACCUUCCUGACUCUACAAAGCUGGAUAUAAAAGCUUCUAUGAGAUUUGAAAUGGUAAAAAGACUAUUCCCCUUCCCACUCCGCACCCUGGAGUCUUUUUCUCUCAAUGUACCUUUAUUAUGAAAGCAUUUUAUUUUACAAUCUUUUUAGUGAGAAAGUUACCAACCUUCAAAGGAAGGAAGGAUGUCAUUUGGUUAGAACAGAAAUUCUAACCUUUUCUCACUGUGCUCUGUAAACUGUAUACCUGAAAGUUUUAUGCCCCAUGAGCCUAAAGCAAGUGGAAGGCUUGUCCCAGGUGCUCCCCUGUCCUCCACCCCUCAUACCCUCUCCCCUUACCUCCUUAUGCCCCCCCACCCCCACCCAUCCCAGUGAGGACUGGUCUCCAGAAGCAGGUAUGAUGGAGGGUCAGCCCCGCCUCUCAGCCUCUGGAUGCUGUGGUACUUACUAUGUUCUGGAAGGCACCUACAAUUUGCAGCCAGUCAGGCCUGAGUUUAGAUCCCAGACCUACCACCAUUCACUAGCUGAUUGAAGUUGGUCAAGAUACUUAAUCUCUCUGAACCUUGGUUUCUGCAUCUGGAACUUGGGGGUGGUGCCCUCUGCAUUGCUGGGUUGCAGUAAAGAUGACAUAUAAACACCCAACACACAGAAAGACCCAAUUAAUGGGAACAAUCAUGAGAUAAAAGAGAUUUUGUUAAAUGUCCCACGGUAUCUGCUUACCCACCCCUUGUAACAAGAGUGCCAAAGGAUUACUUGGAUGCCUGGCCACCCAAGCAGAGGCCACAUUUUCCAGCCUCUCCAGUCAAAGUGAUCACGUGGCUACUUCUGGUCAAUGGAAUGUGGGCAGAAAUGACUCAUCCAACCUCUGAGUCACACUCUGGAAAGGAAGGUGCUUUCCCCUCCCUCCUGACUUUCUGUCCUCCCAGUGGCCUGGAGGUGAAGGGUCCUCGGCCAGCUGCUUUUGAGGCAAGAAUGGGAACACCU